UUUUUCUUUUUUCAUUGUUGGUCUUUCUGACUCUGACAGAUAGCAGCAUAUCUGCUGUAUGAAUCUUAACCUUUCCUCUCCAGAAAGAGUGAUGGGACUUUAUGGGAAUUCUUGCUUGUAAGUGUCAUCAUGAAAACAGGACCUGCAAAGCUUUCUCUGUGAUUCACCACAACAAAAGAUCUUUUGUUUCAAAAGCCAGACAAGACUGGUAUUGGGCUGCAUACUUGAGUAACACGUCAUGUACAAGACCAACCACUUAAAAUCAUGGAAAAUUCAGGACAUCAUAAAUCUUAUACCGACUGCAUCAUUUUAUUUAUUCAAUUUUUUUUCAGAUAUUUAAAACAAACAAAAUGUGUUCCUUCAUAGGCUGUAAGCACUCUGCCAAUUUAGAACUGCAAAACCGAAAUGCAAUAUAAUUGACUCACUGCUUCUACCAAACUGAAGUAAAUAAACACUGGAGCCCCAUUCAUCAACCAGUCCUCUUAAGGCUCCUCAAAGAGCAGAUCCAACACAUGGGUCUUGUAGUAUGUCUAAAAGUCAACAAAUACAGGUGGUGUCAGACUACAGGAAGGGAUUUAUGAAGCCCUGGAAGAUUUUUGUAUUUUGCUGGCUAUACCUUCUCUAUUAUAUUGAAGGGAACAUAAUCCAGUCUCAAUGUUUGUAAUGCCUGCUUCUCUGAGAGAUACAUGACCAAGUAUUUGUCUUAGGAAAGAUCUUCCCUGGAGGCUCUGGGCUUCCUGUGCCCAAACCAUCAUAUUCAAAUCAGUCAGGCCACUCAAAGGGGCCGACAUGGGUCCCAGAGCAGAGAUGCACAUCCCAGGUGUGUGAUUGCCUUCUGUACCACAACCUGCUUCCAAUUAAAUUGCAAUGUAGGCCAUGUGAAGGAUGUGCUGCAGGACUAAGCCAGAAAUGACAAAACCACAGAUGAUGAGUGCAAGUUAUCCAUCUGAAAGUAAUGACUGUGAACAUUGAGGAAGGCACAUGCAAAAGCAUCUCUGAGAAUCACUGUCAGAAGUGAAUGUAGCCCCAUUGAAGGGAGAGGACCAUCUAGAAAAGAGGGCCUUUGUAUGAAUGGUGUGCUGGAAGACCAGAAGAGGAUGGCACUGGGUAGCAGAAGCAAUUACAAACUUCAAGGGACUUGGAGAAACUGAGGAGGUCUUAAACCACUGGUCUUGUUAAGUUUCAUUACCCUGGAUUCAAAGAAAAAGACUGUGGUGACAGACAGUGAUGAAUUUGUUAGGUGGCCUUCUGGGACAUACAUUUGGAUCCAUAAAGCAGAGGGCGGCAACCUGAAGAGAGUGGCUGGGAUGUAACACACAGCCGGGUGCUGCAAGCUGACCACAUUUGGAGAUGGAAGAAUGGCUUUGAGGAUGUUUGUCUACCUUCUCCAAGAAGAAAAGCAGACAAAGGAUGUGAUCUAGUCCAACUGCUGGAGUAUGACGCUGGGCAGCCAAAGACAAGACGAAAGCAACAUAUUUUUAAACAAAAAGGACAGAGGCGUUAAGGAAGUCAGUGGAGCAGAAUUUGGAGGAUGCUCUUGCGCCCUGCUGCAGCUCAGAGGUGUGCAUGCAGCUGCCUGUCUGCUCUUGAAAGAAGUCGUGGGGUUGUGUAGACAGCUCCAUCCCAGCCUCUGGGCGUGCACCCUGCACUGGCCAGUGCUAAUAGGCAAGUAAAAGCCCCCCGAGGGCCACUCACUUCCCUCUUGUAAAUCCGCAUGUGGUUUGAAAGGGUACUUUAUGAGGUGCCUCUGUAUACUUGAUCCCUUGUAUUUUUUCCUGCUGUGAAGCCCGAGGCUGUCUUUCACAGCUCCUGCAGUAAAGCAGGGCCUUGGGAUCCGGAGUGGCAGGGACACGCAAGCAGCGAGUGUCGGCUUUCAUGGAAGUCGCAGGCGCUUUCAUCAGAGAGCCGCCGUGCAGCCCUGCCUGCCCUCCCUGCAGUGCUGGAAACCCAGGCAGAGGGUGGCUGAGGCUGCUCUGGCAGACUUUCUGCCUCCCCAGUGCUCAGGUACUGCAUCUCUUGGUGGGGUUUUGUCCCUUUUCCCCCCCUAUGUUAUAGAUGGAUAAUGAGAUGAUUGGCUCUCACAAUUAAAAGAUAACUAUUGUGUGAAUAUUAAUAAAAGCUCUAGUAAUGUAUAGUUAUGUUAUUGUAAUUUAGAUGUCCUCUGUUGUCCCCAUAGUUCCCUUUUUCCUCCCUGUAUUGUUACCAUCAGACAGCUGGGGGUGUCUAGGACAGGUAAAAAGAAGGCAUGCAGAUGUGUCCCUUACCUGUGGCAGUUGGGAAUGGAAAAGCUUGUGCUUAGGGAAUGCGGCAUGGCAACACCUGACCUCCAAUCAAGUUACAAGAAAGCAGUCUCCACCGAUAAAUGGCAAAGAAGAGCUGACUGACAGACUAUAGGAAGGGCCAGGGUUAGCUGAUGCAACCCCCUGGGGUAUAAAAGACUUGAAGACGAACUGGCCACGUGGUAUGCACGAGAGGCAGUUCCCAGCACUGCAAUUUUUUCCUUAUGUAGUCCUUUGUUGUAUUUUUUUUUUUUUUUUUUUUUAAUUUUCAAAGUGAGCAGUUGUUUCUCACACCUAUCAUCACAGGAGAGUGGCUGGUUUAGGCCCUUUGUUCCCUCUAUGGUUCUAUAGCUAUCUUAUAGUUCAUUGCACGAGAGAAAAGCAAAUAAGGAACUCAGACAGCAACAGAAGGCCUUGAAAGAGGUGACAGUGAGGAAGUGCAUGGGAAGACCAGCUCCUGUACCUCCUCCACGCCCAUCCACUCCUGUGACUCAGUGCCACCGAGCAUCUCCUCUGCCAAGAAGCACGGCACCCUCGCACAAAGAGGAUGCAGCUGACUUUGCCUUUCCUACAGGAGAAAUGAAUGGUAGUGGGAUUUCUGGGACACCCUCUUUGCACCUUGGCAAGAUGUUCAACUGCUUUGUGAAAACCAGCAGCUGUUUAAGACCCACAAGGACCAUCAGAAUGUACGCCUCAAAUCCACAGAAACAACCUACUGUGGAGAUCUCUGUAAAGAGGUAGUUGUUGUAAAUAAGCAAAAAUUAAUGUGAAAUGCUCCAAAAUGUCUCUUUCAAAAGUCUUGAGCAUGGUGGACACAGACUGCAGCAUUUUUGAAAAGGAAAAAACAUCAGUGUCUUUAUCCCUGACCCCUGCAGUUUCAUGAUGUUACAGGAAGAGAAUGAACUGGCUGCAGACAGGGUUUUUGGAGUUGCUGUCCUAUCAGCUAGUGAUUAUCAGAUUGUCUGCCUGUAAUGACAUAUCCAGUCAUAUGUUUUCCCCAUCAAGGCA